rnacentral:lncRNA from 12 species
GUUCUGCAGAUGCCACUGAUUUCAAGGUCUACUGGUUAGAGGAGAGUAUGCAGAAAAUUGUAUAUGGCUUUCCAAAUGAUUGCUGGAGGUCUAAAAAUGAGGUUCUUCUACUCUCGUACUUUUCAGAGUUCAACUUCAGCCGUCAGCCCACACCCAAGGACCAUUAUUGACCACUACAGCUGCAUCACUUGCACUGUGGCACUUUCUAACAUCCAGGAGAACUCAAUACUUCUGCUAUAAAGAAUGUGGACGUGAAGACCAGCUUGAGUAUUUGUAUCCCUGAAUGUCUUCCACUUGAGGAAAAACCUGUGUGCUAUUGGAUAAGGUCCUGAAACAUAAUUUAAAAGCAUCACCAGCAGUAAAAACCCAUCAUGAAGAGGGAUAAAGUCUUCUUGAACAUUAUUCAUUUGAAUCAUGGAGCUGUAUAGAAGCAGAUGUUGAUAUGAUGCAGCUGACAUGUGACAGAGUACCAAAUGGACAUCCUUCAAAAGUCAGUUCUAACUUCCCUAAGUCAUCACUAUUACAUCUAUUAGUGGGACAUAUUUUUUAGGGAAUCACUCAGCAUGUGUAUCAGCUUUCCCAGUCCUAAAUUCUUUUAAGCUGCAUAUUUCUUUCAGAGUGAAAAUUUGAGCCAGUGUAGGCUGUGAAUUGCUGUGAAGACAUCGAAGCCACAUUCUUCACUUUUAAGGGACUGGUGUGGUGGCAUACCGGAGUCUAAUGUUCCAUGCAAUUUAUGAUUUUCC